AUUGAACGCUGGCGGCAGGCCUAACACAUGCAAGUCGAACGAGUGGCGGACGGGUGAGUAAUGUCUGGGAAACUGCCUGAUGGAUGGGGAUAACUACUGGAAACGGUAGAUAAUACCGCAUACCAUCGGAUGUGCCCAGAUGGGAUUAGCUAGUAGGGGGGGUAAAGGCUCACCUAGGCGACGCUCCCUAGCUGGUCUGAAAGGAUGACCAGCGACACUGGAAAUGAGACACGGGCCAGACUCCUACGGGAGGCAGCAGUGGGGAAUAUUGCACAAUGGGCGCAAUCCUGAUGCAGCCAUGCCGGGUGUAUGAAGAAGGCCUUGGGGUUGUAAAGUACUUUCAGCGGGGAGGCGUUACCCGCAGAAGAAGCACCGGCGAACUCCGUGCCAGCAGCCGCGGUAAUAC
rnacentral:rRNA from 1 species